AGAGUUUGAUCCUGGCUCAGGAUGAACGCUAGCUACAGGCUUAACACAUGCAAGUCGAGGGGCAGCAUGGUCUUAGCUUGCUAAGGCCGAUGGCGACCGGCGCACGGGUGAGUAACACGUAUCCAACCUGCCGUCUACUCUUGGACAGCCUUCUGAAAGGAAGAUUAAUACAAGAUGGCAUCAUGAGUCCGCAUGUUCACAUGAUUAAAGGUAUUCCGGUAGACGAUGGGGAUGCGUUCCAUUAGAUAGUAGGCGGGGUAACGGCCCACCUAGUCUUCGAUGGAUAGGGGUUCUGAGAGGAAGGUCCCCCACAUUGGAACUGAGACACGGUCCAAACUCCUACGGGAGGCAGCAGUGAGGAAUAUUGGUCAAUGGGCGAGAGCCUGAACCAGCCAAGUAGCGUGAAGGAUGACUGCCCUAUGGGUUGUAAACUUCUUUUAUAAAGGAAUAAAGUCGGGUAUGCAUACCCGUUUGCAUGUACUUUAUGAAUAAGGAUCGGCUAACUCCGUGCCAGCAGCCGCGGUAAUACGGAGGAUCCGAGCGUUAUCCGGAUUUAUUGGGUUUAAAGGGAGCGUAGGCGGGUGCUUAAGUCAGUUGUGAAAGUUUGCGGCUCAACCGUAAAAUUGCAGUUGAUACUGGGUACCUUGAGUGCAGCAUAGGUAGGCGGAAUUCGUGGUGUAGCGGUGAAAUGCUUAGAUAUCACGAAGAACUCCGAUUGCGAAGGCAGCUUACUGGACUGUAACUGACGCUGAUGCUCGAAAGUGUGGGUAUCAAACAGGAUUAGAUACCCUGGUAGUCCACACAGUAAACGAUGAAUACUCGCUGUUGGCGAUACACAGUCAGCGGCCAAGCGAAAGCAUUAAGUAUUCCACCUGGGGAGUACGCCGGCAACGGUGAAACUCAAAGGAAUUGACGGGGGCCCGCACAAGCGGAGGAACAUGUGGUUUAAUUCGAUGAUACGCGAGGAACCUUACCCGGGCUUAAAUUGCAGUGGAAUGUAGUGGAAACAUUACAGCCUUCGGGCCGCUGUGAAGGUGCUGCAUGGUUGUCGUCAGCUCGUGCCGUGAGGUGUCGGCUUAAGUGCCAUAACGAGCGCAACCCUUGUUGUCAGUUACUAACAGGUUCUGCUGAGGACUCUGACAAGACUGCCAUCGUAAGAUGUGAGGAAGGUGGGGAUGACGUCAAAUCAGCACGGCCCUUACGUCCGGGGCUACACACGUGUUACAAUGGGGGGUACAGAAGGCGGCUACCUGGUGACAGGAUGCUAAUCCCAAAAACCUCUCUCAGUUCGGAUCGAAGUCUGCAACCCGACUUCGUGAAGCUGGAUUCGCUAGUAAUCGCGCAUCAGCCAUGGCGCGGUGAAUACGUUCCCGGGCCUUGUACACACCGCCCGUCAAGCCAUGGGAGCCGGGGGUACCUGAAGUCCGUAACCGCGAGGAUCGGCCUAGGGUAAAACUGGUGACUGGGGCUAAGUCGUAACAAGGUAGCCGUACCGGAAGGUGCGGCUG
rnacentral:rRNA from 1 species